GCCGGGCGCCAUGGCAGGUGCCUACAGUCCCAGCUACUCAGGAGGCUGAGGCUGGAGGAUCGCUUGAGCCCAGGUGUUCUGGGCUGUAGUGUGCUAUGCUGAUCAGGUGUCUGCGGUAAGUUUGGCAUCAAUAUGGUGGCGUCCCGGGAGUGGGGGACCACCAGGUUGCCUAAGGAGGGGUGAACUGGCCCAGGUCAGAAAAGGAGCAGGUCAAAACUCCUGUGCUGGUCAGUAGUGGGAUCUCGCCUGUGAAUAGCCACGGCACUCCAGCCUGGGCAACAUAGCGAGACCCCCAUCUCUU
ensembl:misc_RNA Metazoa_SRP Metazoan signal recognition particle RNA